AUAGAAUUUUAUACUAAUUUAUUUUAAUACUUAAUAUAAAAUUUAGAUUAGUAUUUGAUUGGGAGGAUUAUUAAAUUUAAAAAACUUUAAUUUCUAUAAACUUUGAUUCAAGAAUAUAUAAUGAUCUUUAAUUUGAAAUCUUUAGAAUAAAUUACCUUAGGGAUAACAGCGUAAUAUUUUUUUAUAGAUCACAUAGAAAAAAAUGAUUGCGACCUCGAUGUUGAAUUAAGAUAAAUUUUAAACGCAGGAGUUUAAUAAUUAAGUC
rnacentral:rRNA from 1 species